rnacentral:tRNA from 1 species
AUUUAUAUAGUAUAAUUGUAUAUAUGACUUCCAAUCAUAAGGACUAAUUUUAUUUAGUAUAAAUA